ensembl:lncRNA
UUAUCAUUCAUGCAGAUAUAAGAAAACACAUCUUGAAUGAAAGCCAAAACAUGUUUUUGAUUCAUGUGAUGCUACUUUUACAACUAGGAUUCCAUGAUGCUGUGAGUGCUGGAAUCCAGCGUGAGAUUCAGAAUGCAAGACUCCAACAGCCAUUUACUUUAAACUGUACCUACAACUGUUCAAGUGGCUUCACUCGUGGUUACUGGACAUGGGAAGACACUCCAGCUUGUAGCAAGUGCCAAUGGAAGCCCAGUGGGAGAUCAAAUUUAGGAGACAUGUGCACUGUGAGCUUGUACAUACCUUAUCUAAUUAUGGAGCAAACGCGUUAUAACUAUUCUUGCCUUGCUGAAGAGAGUGACCGUCCGGGCCUUCCUCGUAAAACAGAGCUUCUGGUAACACUGCAAGUUCACGAUCCAUCUCUGAGAGUAAAGUUGUUUAGGGGUCAGGUGGAGUCGGAUGAAGUGCUUACAUCAUUAUCUACCAUCGAAGUGAUGGCAGGAACCUCACUCAAACUUCACUGUGUUGCCCUUGAUAACAAACACUGUGCGGUGCAGUGGAACAGAGAAAACAGUGCCCUCCCCCUGGAAAAAAUAAAUGACACCAUACUACAGUGGAGUGAAAUCAAAGCAGAGGAUAGUGGACGAUACAGGUGCCACACCAAAGGGACCUGCACUGACCAGGCUAUCACUGUGGAAAUAGAGGUCAUCACAUCGGAUGGAUUCGCCUGGGCCAAGAUCUUUGCAGCUUUUGCAGUGUCUGCAGUAGUUAUCCUGAUGGCCCAUCUGGUGUAUUUGUGCUACAGAAAAGGAUGUAAGAUCAUACAUUCUGCUAACAGAGUCCAUGAAAGAGAGCGAAAAUGAAGUCCCUUAUGCUGAUAUUGUGAUCUCCGUGAGAGGAUCCAGCAAUCCGGAUCUAUCUGACACCUUAAACCAGACUUCAAAAAACCAAAGACCGGUGAGAAUUAAUAUUAUUUUAAUAUUAUAAAUUUAUACAAUUACUUAAGGAUUUUUCACAGGGCUGUUUGGUAUCACAGAACCAGAUGUGUGACAGUGUGAACUGUGUUUUGCAGAGAUGGAGGGACGAGGCCAGAGCAGGGCUACUGCAUGCUUCAGCUGACAGACUGCACAUCCACUCUAAAGAGGUCACUAGGAAAUUAAGCACAACGUCUGAAUAUGCUGUAAUUACUUACUCCUGUGAGGCUCUUAGUUAGUUACUUCAAAAACUGCAUAUCUGAUUAAAAAAUAGAAGGCAAAAUGUGAAAAUUGUAAAUAGCUGUCUGCAAUUAAAAAAUUCAAAACUUUUAAUGCAUGUGUGUUUGUUGCUUUUAUAGUCUUGAAGGAAAUACUUACUGCAUUACAUUUGCUUUGCAGCUCAUAAAAACAUUUUUACUGUGUCAGCUGCUUGCUGUUUUUGACCAGGAAGGUCUAUAUGACUUAAAAGAAUGGUUUAAGUAAUUUAUAGUAUGUGUCUGCAGUCCAAUUUCAUAAUUGCAUAGGUUUUUUUUCUAAUAGUAAAAAAACACCUCAAACACCAGUUUAGACCUCUCUAAAUUAUUUUUUAUUUUUGUCAAUUUAAGGGGGAACAUGUCCCAAACCAGCCUAUAUACCUUGUUUGUUUACUUAUUACAGGGAGGCCUACUGUAGUACUGAUAAAAGGUUAGAAAUUCCUUGCAAUUUGUUCACACUUCACACAUUCAGCGAGAUUUGGACUCUGAAAGGUGGUUAUUUAUAUGGCCUAAAACAUUAUCAUAUUUACCAUGUUCACCUAUACUUCUGUAUAUUGUUACUGUUUUGAAAAACUGUCUUUACCUGCAGUAGGCUAUCGGCUGCACACGAAGGUGUUGAACUGUAUCAUUGACAAACGACAGGGUUGCAUUUGCAGGCGUGGUUUUAAUUGAUUUAUUUUUUUUUAAUACCUUUUUGUUAUUUGUUAUUUAGUAUUAGCCUAUAUCCCAUUACUAUUUUAAACAGCGUCUCAAUGCGUGAGAAUUUUUAGAAUGAUUCAAACUGGAUCGUGAAUCGUUUGACCGAUUGACUCACGAUUCGCGACGCGGGCAUCGCCGAAUUGCAAAGAACUGACAGAAGACACGAGAUGAUUUAAUAAAUAUUGUGAGCGGAAAUGUUUCUCCGGUCGG